rnacentral:lncRNA from 1 species
AAUAAUCGAAGAAUUAAACUUGCAUAAAAGUCGAAAAAGAGGUUCGAAUCACCACAUAGGGUUCCAAUAAAAUCCUAGAAUAAAAACUUAGCUACUCAUGUUCGUUACGGAAAACAUAAUGAAAAUACGAAAAAUCAUAAAAACAAUAAAAAAGGAGAACUAUAAUGAAGAGUCGUCAAGUCUUCGUCUUCGUUCUUGCUCCUUGAUUGCGUGUCGAAAGAUAAAAGCUAAAAACUAAAAUAAAGAUGAAAGGUAAAAGAUAGGAUCCGUCUAAUUGUGUGCUUGUGGCCUUUAAAUAGGGUGCAAAAGUCUAAUAGGGCGGGUUUCCUUGUAUAAUUGAGUUCCCUUCACUGCGCCAUCACGUCAGCCCGGACGGCCGUGUGAGAUUUUGAACUAAAAUCCGCACGGCCGUGCGGUCUUUAAUUCUCCAGAUUUCUGAUUUUUUCACUUUUGGCCCACUUUUUCUCUGAAUUUGCAGUUUUCACCCCAAAAGUUGUCAAUUCUUCAAUUUGCACCUAAAAUACAAAUAAUAACCAAAUUAAGCACCAAUUAUCGUAAAAACACACCAAAAGCUCCAAUUAAAAGGUAUAAUUAAGUGUAUAAAUAUACACUUA